AACGAACGCUGGCGGCAUGCCUAACACAUGCAAGUCGAACGAGAUCUUCGGGUCUAGUGGCGCACGGGUGCGUAACGCGUGGGAAUCUGCCCUUUGGUUCGGAAUAACAGUUGGAAACGACUGCUAAUACCGGAUGAUGACGAAAGUCCAAAGAUUUAUCGCCAGAGGAUGAGCCCGCGUAGGAUUAGCUAGUUGGUGUGAUAAAGGCGCACCAAGGCGACGAUCCUUAGCUGGUCUGAGAGGAUGAUCAGCCACACUGGGACUGAGACACGGACCAGACUCCUACGGGAGGCAGCAGUGGGGAAUAUUGGACAAUGGGCGAAAGCCUGAUCCAGCAAUGCCGCGUGAGUGAUGAAGGCCUUAGGGUUGUAAAGCUCUUUUACCCGGGAUGAUAAUGACAGUACCGGGAGAAUAAGCUCCGGCUAACUCCGUGCCAGCCGCCGCAGUAA
rnacentral:rRNA from 1 species